rnacentral:rRNA from 1 species
CAUGUCCUUUUGAAAAAUAAUUUAAGGUUUGACCUGCUCAAUGUUUAAUAAAUAGCUGCAGUAUUUUGACUGUACAAAGGUAGCAUAAUAAUUAGUUUCUUAAUUAGGAACUGGAAUGAAUGGUUGGACAAGAAAAUUACUGUCUCUUUUUUAAUAUUUUUGAAUUUUAUUUUUAAGUGAAAAAGCUUAAAUUUAUAUAAAAGACGAGAAGACCCUAUAGAGUUUAAUAUUAAUUAUUAAUAGAUUAUUAGUAAAUUAAUUUAAUAAUAAAUAUUUAAUUGGGGUGAUUGAAAGAAAUAAAUAAUUCUUUUAAUUUUUAAUUGAUAAUUUUCAAUUUAAUAAUCUGAAAUUUUUAAAAUUAAAAUAAAUUACCUUAGGGAUAACAGCGUAAUUUUUCUUAAAAGCUCUUAUUUAAAGAAAAGUUUGCGACCUCGAUGUUGGAUUAAAAUUAAUUUUUGGUGCAAUAACUUAAAAAUUAGGUCUGUUCGACCUUUAAAAUUUUACAUGAUCUGAGUUUAAACCGGUGUAAGCCAGGUUGGAUUCUAUCUUUAGAAAUUAAUUAUAUUUUAGUACGAAAGGACCAAGUAUAAGUUAGAUUAAUUG